UGAACGCUGGCGGCAGGCUUAACACAUGCAAGUCGAGCGGGGGAAGGUAGCUUGCUACCGGACCUAGCGGCGGACGGGUGAGUAAUGCUUAGGAAUCUGCCUAUUAGUGGGGGACAACAUCUCGAAAGGGAUGCUAAUACCGCAUACGUCCUACGGGAGAAAGCAGGGGAUCUUCGGACCUUGCGCUAAUAGAUGAGCCUAAGUCGGAUUAGCUAGUUGGUGGGGUAAAGGCCUACCAAGGCGACGAUCUGUAGCGGGUCUGAGAGGAUGAUCCGCCACACUGGGACUGAGACACGGCCCAGACUCCUACGGGAGGCAGCAGUGGGGAAUAUUGGACAAUGGGGGGAACCCUGAUCCAGCCAUGCCGCGUGUGUGAAGAAGGCCUUAUGGUUGUAAAGCACUUUAAGCGAGGAGGAGGCUACUUUAGUUAAUACCUAGAGAUAGUGGACGUUACUCGCAGAAUAAGCACCGGCUAACUCUGUGCCAGCAGCCGCGGUAAUACAGAGGGUGCGAGCGUUAAUCGGAUUUACUGGGCGUAAAGCGUGCGUAGGCGGCUUAUUAAGUCGGAUGUGAAAUCCCCGAGCUUAACUUGGGAAUUGCAUUCGAUACUGGUGAGCUAGAGUAUGGGAGAGGAUGGUAGAAUUCCAGGUGUAGCGGUGAAAUGCGUAGAGAUCUGGAGGAAUACCGAUGGCGAAYGCAGCCAUCUGGCUAAUACUGACGCUGAGGUACGAAAGCAUGGGGAGCAAACAGGAUUAGAUACCCUGGUAGUCCAUGCCGUAAACGAUGUCUACUAGCCGUUGGGGCCUUUGAGGCUUUAGUGGCGCAGCUAACGCGAUAAGUAGACCGCCUGGGGAGUACGGUCGCAAGACUAAAACUCAAAUGAAUUGACGGGGGCCCGCACAAGCGGUGGAGCAUGUGGUUUAAUUCGAUGCAACGCGAAGAACCUUACCUGGCCUUGACAUACUAGAAACUUUCCAGAGAUGGAUUGGUGCCUUCGGGAAUCUAGAUACAGGUGCUGCACGGCUGUCGUCAGCUCGUGUCGUGAGAUGUUGGGUUAAGUCCCGCAACGAGCGCAACCCUUUUCCUUACUUGCCAGCAUUUCGGAUGGGAACUUUAAGGAUACUGCCAGUGACAAACUGGAGGAAGGCGGGGACGACGUCAAGUCAUCAUGGCCCUUACGGCCAGGGCUACACACGUGCUACAAUGGUCGGUACAAAGGGUUGCUACACAGCGAUGUGAUGCUAAUCUCAAAAAGCCGAUCGUAGUCCGGAUUGGAGUCUGCAACUCGACUCCAUGAAGUCGGAAUCGCUAGUAAUCGCGGAUCAGAAUGCCGCGGUGAAUACGUUCCCGGGCCUUGUACACACCGCCCGUCACACCAUGGGAGUUUGUUGCACCAGAAGUAGCUAGCCUAACUGCAAAGAGGGCGGUUACCACGGUGUGGCCGAUGACUGGGGUG
rnacentral:rRNA from 1 species